AUGACUUGCUACCCCUGCAAUCCUCUCCCCCACCUCCCACCCGGCACCAUAUCAUCCCCCCGGCCCUCUCAUGCUCAUCGUGGAUAUGUAGUACUUGGAGGAGAACUACCCGUGGUAUGCGAUGAGUGGAUUGUCGCCACCAUCGUCCCUGAUGUCUCUGCUGAGGAGUUCCACGGUGCCAUUGCUUUGAUCACCACCUUCGUUGAAGGUCGUGGCUGGCACAUGAACUACACCUCAUGCUGAUGUAUGGGUACGACUCUGAUCUAGUUCACCACUGCUUACUCUAGAGAUACUGCUGUCAGUAAUAGUCCAUUUCAUAUUGGAGACUCUGUUUUGAGAAUUAGUAGGCAGGACAGAGGUCUGAACUAAUGCAGCAUCACUUCUACUCAUGAUGUUCGGAUUUUAUUGAUGAACUAUCCACUAGAAUGUUGGGAUGUGGGGGUGGUUAGUCGCACGAUUCCCCCCUAUGGCAGAUUUUUGAUCCGGAACAAAGAUCCUAGGGAUAAGACUAGAAUUCUUGUGAAGCUCAGAGUUAUGAGUGUUGAUACUAUCCCUAUCAGUAUUGUUGUGCUCCAAAACCAUGAUGAUGUUGGCUAUGGGGACUCAUGGACCUGUCCUACAUACAUUCUGCCUAGAGAACUGAUUCGGCAGCAGGGUGGAAAUGAGGAUCCAAUUCCCCCAGAUGGUGGCAAUCCUCAUCCUCUGCCUCAUGUACAUGGGGUUCUUUGGCAUGAUGAGGUUCUCGGUAAUAUUCGCAUGGAUCAGGUGGUUAUCAAUCCACACAAUGAAAAUCUGGGAGCUCCAUAUGAGGAUGUACGUGCUGUUAAUAAUGACAGUGCCAAUCAUAAUGCUGGGUAUGUUGAGCAUGUUGAGCAUGUUACUAAUGAUGAUGAUAUAAAUACUAUUUUCAAUGCUGUUGUGAUAGAGGCUCCCGUGGUCGGCAUGAGCUAG
rnacentral:rRNA from 1 species